AACCAUAGAAACCUGCGGAGUACCUGCGGAAGGAUCAUUACCGAGUGCGGGUCCGCGUGGCCCAACCUCCCACCCGUGCCUAUUGUACCCUGUUGCUUCGGCGGGCCCGCCAGCCUUCGGGCUGGCCGCCGGGGGGCGUCUCGCCCCCGGGCCCGUGCCCGCCGGAGACCCCAACAUGAACCCUGUUCUGAUAGCUUGGUGUCUGAGUGUGAUUGUUUGCAAUCAGUUAAAACUUUCAAC
rnacentral:misc_RNA from 1 species